CAAAAAUUGACACCGUAACUUCGGAAGAAGGUGUGCCCUAUUAGUGUGAAGUGAACAACGGAGCAUGAAUGGGUUGCAAAAAAUCGGUGGCUGCGACUGUUUAUUAAAAACACAGCACUCUGCAAACACGAAAGUGGACGUAUAGGGUGUGACGCCUGCCCGGUGCUGGAAGAUUAAAUGAUGGGGUGCAAGCUCUUGAUUGAAGUCCCAGUAAACGGCGGCCGUAACGAUAACGGUCCUAAGGUAGCGAAAUUCCUUGUCGGGUAAGUUCCGACCUGCACGAAUGGCGUAACGAUGGCCACACUGUCUCCUCCUGAGACUCAGCGAAGUUGAAAUGUUUGUGAUGAUGCAAUCUCCCCGCGGAAAGACGGAAAGACCCCAUGAACCUUUACUGUAGCUUUGUAUUGGACUUUGAACAGAUCUGUGUAGGAUAGGUGGGAGGCUUUGAAGCAGGGUCGCUAGAUCUUGUGGAGCCAACGUUGAAAUACCACCCUGGUGUGUUUGAGGUUCUAACCUAGGUCCAUUAUCUGGAUCGGGGACAGUGCAUGGUAGGCAGUUUGACUGGGGCGGUCUCCUCCCAAAGCGUAACGGAGGAGUUCGAAGGUACGCUAGUUACGGUCGGACAUCGUGACGAUAGUGCAAUGGCAUAAGCGUGCUUAACUGCGAGACUGACAAGUCGAACAGAUGCGAAAGCAGGACAUAGUGAUCCGGUGGUUCUGUAUGGAAGGGCCAUCGCUCAACGGAUAAAAGGUACUCUGGGGAUAACAGGCUGAUACCGCCCAAGAGUUCAUAUCGACGGCGGUGUUUGUCACCUCGAUGUCGGCUCAUCUCAUCCUGGGGCUGUAGCCGGUCCCAAGGGUAUGGCUGUUCGCCAUUUAAAGAGGUACGUGAGCUGGGUUUAAAACGUCGUGAGACAGUUUGGUCCCUAUCUUCCGUGGGCGCUGCAGAUUUGAGGAAGCCUGCUCCUAGUACGAGAGGACCGGAGUGGACACACCUCUGGUGUAUCGGUUGUCACGCCAGUGGCAUUGCCGAGUAGCUAAGUGUGGAAGAGAUAACCGCUGAAAGCAUCUAAGCGGGAAACUCGUUUCAAGAUGAGAUCUGCCGGGGCCUUGAGCCCCCUGAAGAGUCGUUCAAGACCAGGACGUUGAUAGGUCAGGUGUGGAAGCGCAGUAAUGCGUUAAGCUAACUGAUACUAAUUGCUCGUGCGGCUUGACCCC
rnacentral:rRNA from 1 species